UACGUAGGGACCAAGCGUUGUUCGGAUUUACUGGGCGUAAAGGGCGCGUAGGCGGCGUGUUAAGUCAGCUGUGAAAUCUCCAAGCUUAACUUGGAACGGUCAGCUGAUACUGAUGUGCUAGAGUGCAGAAGGGGCAAUCGGAAUUCUUGGUGUAGCGGUGAAAUGCGUAGAUAUCGGGAGGAACACCUGUGGCGAAAGCGGCGCACUGGACCACAACUGACGCUGAGGCGCGAAAGCUAGGGGAGCAAACAGG
rnacentral:rRNA from 1 species